UUGCUGGAAUACUGCUAAAAGCGGUUUAAAACCAUACACAUUCACUCACAAACACUAAACCAACACAGGUUCAUGUUGCAAUUAAUACUGAUUGAUAUUACAAAAACAUUUUGCAGAUAUAAAACAAAUGUUACGACUAUAUCCACAAGUUGAGUAUUCAUGUCAACAUAAACGUGUGUUGGCCUGGAUGAUUCAAGUUUCCUACAGGUACCUAAGAAGAAUACUUUAUAGUGAGUGAGUGAAUUUAGUUUUAAGCCGCUUUUAGCAAUAUUCCAGCAAUAUCACGGAGGGAGGGGGAGGGAGACACCAGAAAUGGCUUCACACUUUGUACCCAUGUGCGGAAUCAAACCCAGUUCUUCAACCUGACGACCAAAAUCUUUAACGACUAGGCCACCCCACCACCUCCUUUGUACACACAGCUAAGGCAUAUGUGU